AUUAUAUUAGUUCAAAUUGAAGUUGUUAUAUGAAAUUUCAAUUUUAAGAACUGCCCCAAAUUUAAGCUUUUAAGGGUCAUUUUGGUCCUUUUAAGUGCUAGAGUAACUUCUAAGCACUCUACUAAAGCAUUGACAAGAUUAAUUAAAACUAGGGUUGUUACAGUUUGAUUUCAAAUAUGCACAUGAUUAAGUAGUAAACACAUUCAAUGGAAGAUAUGCUACAAGGAUUUCCAAUGUUGCUAGGAUGGUACAAGUAUUUCCAAUCGUAGUAAGCACACCAAAUAGACGUGAGGUUUCUUUGGUUUUCCAUUGUAAAAUUUAAUAUAUAUAGUAGUUCUCCAUCCGAAAUAUGCCCUUCAUUCUUGUUUAUAAGAUGUGAUAUGAUAUGACACUGUCUUCCUUAUUACAUUUAUGCGCAUACGCCUUAUAAAAGGAGGGAGUAGUACCUAACAAAAUAAUUCAAUAGAAGCGGAGCAGUACAUAAACUGAGGAGUGGUACCAAAUAAUGGAAUAUCUGGCUUUUUGAAGGUGUUCUCAUAAUAUACCAAAGAUUUCGAAUGAUAAUUUGUUGAAUCUAGGUCCAGAUUCUCCUGAUUGUACCAAUAAAAUUUUGUUACAGGUUACGCUGAUUGUGCCAAGAAUAAGAAACGUCCAUGAAUAGACUACUAGACAUUCCAUUGUUCGGAUUUUUGUCCAGCAUAUUCUACUAAGCAGAACAUCCUUUGGUUGCCAUUACCUGGCGCAGACCAGCCCCGAAAUAUUUUUGACGUGCUAUUCAAAUAUUCGGACGCCCGGGCCAAGCCGUGAGACAGAUGUGAAAUGUCAAUUCUCCUCCUCCCCCUUCCCAACAGCACCCUGUUUCAUCCACCACAUUGUAAAAGGGUAUAAUGGUAAUGUGAUAGGGCCAUCCACCCAAUUGGCCAAAUACCUCGUCCCUUUCCUCCCUCCGCCCCAAUCUUUUGCAUCCAAACACUUUCCGCCAUCAGUUCCCCUUCACCUCCUCGCCCCCAUCCCAAAUCUUCACCUCCUCCUAGCCCCCAUCCCAAAUCUUCACCUCCUCCUCGCCACCAUCCCAAAUCUUCACCUGCUCACUGCCAUCCACAAUCUUCCCCUCAUAGCUACCGCCCAUUUCCCAUCUCCCUCCACAAGACCAGCGGCGAUGCAAUGGCACCACGCGGGAAGGUCAUACGAAGGAAACAUCAACAACCAGG
rnacentral:lncRNA from 1 species